GAUGAACGCUAGCGGCAGGCCUAAUACAUGCAAGUCGAGGGAGAAGUUGUCUUCGGAUGACAGGAACCGGCGAACGGGUGCGUAACACGUAUGCAAUCUGCCCCUGACUGGAGCAUAGCCCGGGGAAACUCGGAUUAAUACUCCAUAACAUUAUGAAAUGGCAUCAUUUUAUAAUCAAAGUUCCGGCGGUCAGGGAUGAGCAUGCGGCCCAUUAGCUAGUUGGUGAGGUAAUGGCUCACCAAGGCUACGAUGGGUAGGGGGUCUGAGAGGAUGAUCCCCCACACUGGUACUGAGACACGGGACCAGACUCCUACGGGAGGCAGCAGUAGGGAAUAUUGGGCAAUGGGCGAAAGCCUGAUCCAGCCACGCCGCGUGCAGGAUGACGGUCCUAUGGAUUGUAAACUGCUUUUGUCAGAGACGAAAGUGUAUGAUUUAUCAUAUUUUGACGGUAUCUGGCGAAUAAGCACCGGCUAACUACG
rnacentral:rRNA from 1 species